rnacentral:tRNA from 1 species
GGGGAAAUAGCUCAGGAGUAGCGCACAUGCUUGGCAUGCAUGAGGUCCUGGGUUCAAUCCCCAGUGCCUCCA